UGGGGAAUAUUUGGGCAAUGGAGGAAACUCUGACCCAGCGACGCCGCGUGCGGGAUGAAGGCCUUCGGGUUGUAAACCGCUUUCAGCAGGGAAGAAGCGAAAGUGACGGUACCUGCAGAAGAAGCACCGGCUAACUAUGUGCCAGCAGCCGCGGUAAUA
rnacentral:rRNA from 1 species